CGCUCACGUCCGCUUUUGAUGACGUAUCGUGCUCAGGCGAUUCGUCGACGCGUCGUUUGUGGCAGCCCUAGUAUCAACCCUGAGAGGGGAACAAAGACCAGCCAGGAGAAAGUGAUGUUCCAGAGGUCAGGAAGCGGCUCCAGAAAAAGACAUCUACUGUAAAUCCCCAUGUAGUCACCUUUAUAAAAAGACUGAUGGACUCUGAGUGGGACUUCAUGUAAACCCACAGCUCCUCUCCACACAGAACCUCAUUUUCACAAAGCAAAAGCCCAGUCUGCAACCAGAUGUUCAUGUUGUCAUUUUAAGGAGAGUUUGAUGGCCUUCUGCUGGGUGACAGGGGUUACCAUGCCAACCCAGGCUGAUGACCUCAUACCCUGACCCUGAACCAGGCCCCCAACAGAACUUCAACCGGGCUCAUUGCAGGAUGAGAGCCCGGGUGGAAAUGAUCAUAGACCUGCUGAAAGCCUGUUUCCAGUGUCUACAUCACCUCAGGGUGACUCCUGAGAGGCCUGUGAUAUUAUUGUGGCAUGUGUUGUUCUUCAUAAUAUUGCCACUAUUAGAGGAGAGCAACACUCUGCCCUACAAACUGAAGACCCAGAUGAUGACCUCAUCCACCUGCCAGCUAUCAGGACAGCAGAGCAGUCAGAGACACCAUAUGCAAUAAUCACUGCAGAGAUUAAGUCUCCAUCAUCACCACCACAGCAGUGAAAUAAACACGACACACAUUUCAUUUGGUCUUCUUUAUUUCCUACAAAUAAAAGAGCUAGUUUAGUUCAUGUUCCAGUAGUUAACAUAAUUCACCUGUGACCUGCAUCCACCUCUAACUUGUGCUCCAGUAUUUCAAUUUCCAGAUCUGCCUUCUUAAUCUGGUGGUCCAAGUACUGCAUUUCUUUAUCUGUUUUUUGGAUUUUUCUCAGCAAGUGGAUUUUGUAUAUUUGUUUUACUGGUAACUGGGAAUACAUAAAGGACAUUAAAUUAUACAGUUGCACGUGAAUUCCAUGGACUGAACCUCUGGUGUUUACUGAACAUCCAUCUCACUGUGUCAGUCUGUGCAGUGGAAGUUGAGGAAGCAUCCUGCUGCUGUCCAGCCAUGCUCUGUUAAAAAGGAUGAGAAUGUGCAAUACUUCAGUGUAGGCU
ensembl:lncRNA